ensembl:lncRNA
CUUCAUAUUGUGUUUUUUGUUUCUUGUGAACAAGAGAUAAUUGUUUUUGUCUGAAAUUUCAGGAAGAUACAACCUCUUCCUUCCAUCAGUAAACUGCUCCUGUGGAAAAACCUUGCCAGUGACCAUAAGUGAUCUGGUUGAAAGUGGUUACUGGCCAGCCACUGUCAAUUUUGAGACCUUGUACUUGGUGGACUUGUUCACCACGUAUGAGGAUCUAAAAAUCACUGCCCCAGGGAUGUCGAGACAAGCUUUUGUCAGCAUGCUCGAGUGUCGUACAAAACUCUUCGGGCGAAGUGGUAAGAUUUGUGGGGACACAAUGCAGAGGGCCUUCCUCGAAUGGGCCUAUGCCAAAUUUGAGGUUGACAAGCUGUCUCAGGUCCAGCAUUUUCAGUGCCCUGCAUGCACACCCUCCAUGUUGGCAGUUGCAGUGGAUGGGAACCGCAAAUUAUAUCGUUUCAAAAGCCAACCAGGGCCUGAUGGGUUUUUUGAUGGAGUCUUUUUGGCCAAUGAUGCUGAGGUGUCCUCCUUUGUUGAUUACAUCCAUGGAACAACUGGACAUGUAAGCUAAAUUUAUAUUUCUUCAUGUGUAACACCACAAUUAAAAAUUUGUAUGAAUGCUUGCCAGUUUUUUCCCCAAAAUUUAAACAUUAUUUGGUUUGCAUCAAAUGCCAUAAUACCAUGAUUUACAGCUUAUUUUGUAAAAUGUAACUGUGUAAAUGUCUGUAUUUGCCCUCAUCUGUUUAAGAAUCCAGGGAAAGGGAGAUGUGGUGCGGGUCAGUGGACUGCAGCACGAGAGUCUGCCAACAAGUCUGGAAGCAAACUAGACGAGGAAGGUGUUGAAGUUGCUGUCUGCCGUCAUGGG